GCAACCAGCCAGUGGUCACAACAACAGAUAAAGACUGAAUAUGCUUAUACAUUCACAGGUGAUGGCUGCCUGGAGUGAGAAUACAGAAUUGAAUUUGACAACAAUGUAAAACCUGUGCAACUCCCUAAAAAAAAGAGCUGCAAGAUCUUAAGAGGAGAGGAAACAUUGCACCAGUGGAAAGGAGAAAGAACUGGAUCAGAAGUAUGGUGGUUGUACGUAGUAUGUGGACAGGGAGAGACAGAAGAAGCAGCUGAGAGAGACCAUGAUGAAAAGCUGAAUGUGUUUCUAGUGCAAUGCAGAGAGAAAGGUAUCAAGCUAAAUGUUGACAAGCUCAAAUUGAGACAAAGAGAAGUCUCUUACAUCAGGCACCUCCUGACGUCCGAUGGAUUGAAAAUUGACCCAGACAAAGUUCAAGCAUUAACACACAUGCCGAAACCAACAGAUGCAAAAGGAGUUCAGAGACUUUUAGGGAUAGUAAAUUACCUCUCAAAGAUCUUUCAGACCAGAAAUACUAGAAAUAAAUCAGCAUAUACACUCCUCUCAUUUAGGUGUAGAAGGAUGGCUAGAGAGGAGGGCCAGAGAGAGUGUGUACUGGCAGGGAAUGAACAUGCAGAUCAAAGCGUAUAUGUACAACAAUGUGACAGAUGCCCCUCAGUGGACUGGAACCAGCAAAAGGAGACACUGCGACCACACAAAAUGCCAAACAGACCUUGGGCCAAGGGACAAUGGCCUGCAGAUCUUGCCACAGUAGUUCCAGAAUUUCAGUCAUCACUGGGAAUUCCUGCACAAGACUUCAUCACUUGGCUAUCCUCAGAGCAAUGGCAAUGGGGAAUCAGCAGACUGAUGCUCAAAGCACAAAUAUCAAGACAGAGACAUUAUUUAGCAAUUCUAGAUCACGGAAACAUGGAUUAUCAACCAGCCCAGCACAGAGGUUGCUUAGUCAUUGCACUAAGACACUACUACAUAAAAAAAUCAGCCUCCUGCAACCAAAGAUUCAAAAUUCCUUGAGAGAAAUGACAGCAAACCAACAACGACUACAAACAGAUCAGCCAAAGACUGAGAAUAUAACCAUUUGAGCCUUAUAAGAUCUGGAGAAAGGGCACAACAGUGAAGCCCAUCAACUGAAGAUCCUUGUGUCCAGUUAGAUUCUGGAGGAGUUAUAAGGAGAAAUACAGGAAACAAUUCUCAUGAUCGAAGCCACUGCGCCGCCUCAGCAAAUGCUUGACCCAAACUAUGAGGUGCUGACUCUAAUUGUUAGAGAAAACAGCCAGGCAGGAGUGGAGCUUCCUCUAACAUGGAACGCUCACAAAAUAGUACAAUGUCUGUUUGUUUUCAAAAAUAUCAUAUUUUACAUGUGAUACAAACUUAUUUUUGGUGACAAUAUUUACUGAAACCUGCAUGGUUUGAAAGUGAUUUCUGUUUGAAUUCUUUUAUGUUUGCAUUGAGAUGAUGAGGUGUACAAGGAGGCUCUGGGUGCAUGUAGAAUUCACUUUAGCAUUAGAAUUUAUUAAAACACUUUUUCAUAUUUGCAACAUGAAUGCUAACUCUUCAGCAGCAAUUACAGAACCGAAACUUCUACCAGAAAGACUCGGGAAGCAAAGAAACGUUUGAAUACAAUUUAUUCAACAGUAUGAAUGUUAAUAUCAAUGAUAAUGAUAAAGUUCUUUGGCGUAGGCCCCGUCCAUAGUACAAUCCGGAGGGUAGCAGACGUUUGCAGAUCCUGCCUUAAGAUGAAGGCAGGGGCGGAGCCUACCCCCAAAAGAACUGAGAAUGUGAAGAAAAUACGCACCAGUUGAAGGAUUCUUUGAAUGCGUUCCUAAAUAUUACCAAAGAGAAAGAGGUGAUGAAUGCACAGACUUAAUGAAUGUUGAAUCAUUAAGAGAAAGAAUCAUAUAAUAGCUUUUCGUUCUGCUAUAGCUUUAAGGAUGUGAAGAUUGCCGCAUAGGCCGUAAUAUUGCCACAUAAGGUCGAGCAUGAAAGCCAAUUAGGCUGAUAGGCCAGCAUAUAACCUUGCCAUGUAGAUCAUAUAAGAUGUGGGGAAGAAAGAGUGGAUGAAUGAGAUGCCCUGAUGAGCUGAAUAAAGCAAGCCAUAUAGAUGUAAA